UGGCCUUCUACGGGCACGCAGGGCUCCUCGCAGUUCCGCACCGCUUAAAAUGCUGCACUCAAAGGCGGGCAUCGUCGUGUUCAUCACGGGCUACGGACCCUUCGCCACUGUGAAGGUGAACCCCAGCUCCGACAUUGCCCUUCGUGUCAUGGAGAACCUGAAGCGCCAUCCCGACGUAGCGGAGAUGCGCUACACGGAGCUGGAUGUCAGCGUGACCACCGUCGCGGCGUACUUUGAGAAGGUGGAGAGGGAAAUUGCCGACAUCAUCGCCGAACACGGCGCCGGCAAGGUGAAGAUCCUUCUCUGCCACCUAGGUGUUCACAAUGACACAACGGGACUCAUCCGCGUCGAGGUGCAGGGCUACAACGAGCUCUUUGCCAGCGUCCCUGACGUGGACGGUAAGGUGCUCAACCACGAGCCCAUUGUACCGGAGGACGGCACGAUCGAAGUAUUUUACGAGAGCUGGUUCGGCAAGGCGGGCUCGCCGCAGCUCGAGAAGCUGGAGCGCUUGAUUCAGCAGGUGAACGACACCAUUGCCGAGUCAUGGCAUCACUCUGUGACGGGUGCCGUGACCAAAAAUGAGGUGACACCCUCGGACGCAGACAGAAAGGACAUGGUGAUGCCAGCGUUUCAGGCUCCGAGCUGGGCAAUUUCGCGCAACGCAGGGCGCUACCUGUGCAACUGCGCCCUCUACCACGCACUUCGACUUCAGGAAAAGAAUCCGGGCAUCGUCUAUGGUGUCUUCAUUCACGUUGUCGAUCCGAUUCGCGGCAAGACGGAGAGCGAGGGCGGUCCAAUUGUGGCUUACAACCCAACGACAAUGGUGCAAUCGGUGCAAGUGCAGCGUUUCAUGCACGGCCUGCUGUCUUUGAUGACCACGUGACGAAGAAAUCGCUAGCAGUGAAGGAGCGGUGCGCUUGUUCAGGUUCUUUCGCCCCAUUAUCGGCCUCAUGCUCAGCCCAAGUGGAUGGCGACACGACACACGGAAGCCGCACCACCUUUGUGUUCUGCGCGGCGUCGUCAUCCUUGCUUGUUCACGUCGGCUGAAGGCCCUUCCGCUCACCGUCAGCGCUUUCUCCUAUGCGUCUCCUGAGCAGAAUAUCAUGAAGGGGCGUCGCUUCAUUUUUCCCACACCCG
rnacentral:misc_RNA from 1 species